rnacentral:rRNA from 1 species
GCCGCGUGAGUGAGACGGACUUCGGGGUGUAAACUUCUGUUAUGCGGGGAAGAAGAUGACGGUACCCGACUAAGAAGCCCCGGCUAAUUACGUGCCGGCCGCCGCGGUAAUGAUGACCAGCCGCCGCGGUAAU